UCCCUGAUAGCUCAGUUGGUAAAGAAUCUGCCUGCAAUGCAGGAGGCCCCAGUUCGAUUUCUGGGUGGGGAA
rnacentral:tRNA from 1 species